AAACGACAGUCACUCAUUGUCAGUAAAUGACAGGCCGUUGAACCGCGCAUAAUGUUAUCGUUAAAUGGUCGACGGAGCAAGUCAACGACAUGUCGUCCGUAACAAAUAAUCAAUAGCGGAUGGUAUACAUGUAAUCAUUUUUUAGACUUCUUUUUUUUCCCUCCUUUGCAGCUUGCGGUCGCUUUCAGUCAAAACCCAGAUGGCGUGGAGAAUGGACUCGCAAAUCUAAGCACUAACAGCCCCCAAAGGCUUUUCCUUUUUGCUGCAAAAAUUGCAUAAAUCACGGCGAAUGGUCAAUCUUUAGAUUUAUAUCAGAUGGGUACAAGGUUUUGGUAAUAUUUUGAUUUCCCGGUAUGAAACAAUGGGCCAGGCUUUAGGUAUACCUGAUAGUGGGCUACUAAUGCAAAGAGAUCCACCUCCAGUCAUCGAUCCUAAUGAACCACUGGACAAGCUUCUUCUGAACAAAAGAUUCCGUCAGUCUUUUAUGGCUUUUGCUGACAGGUUUCUCUCUCCUCUAUAGUUCAGUUAAUAGAAAUUAAUACUUGUGGUCUUUCCUUGAGAGAAUUUUUUUCAUGGUGUUUCCUCGGAUACUUCUUAACAGAUAUUUUCAUAAUUUAUUUUUCCUUGGAACAAUUUGGAGACUGGAGAAGCUUAGAUAAAAUUUCAGAUGAAAUAAGGAAAAAGGAUCAAUCUUUGAGUGUAAUAUUUAUGUUUUUAUCAUAAUUGCAGUUGUUUGGCUGGGGAGAGUGUUCAUUUCUAUAAUGAAGUGCAUGAGCGUGGCAAAAUCCCAAUAGAUGACACAGUAAGAAGGAUCUAUAUGACCCGGCAUAUUAUUGAGAAAUAUAUAGUUGCAGGUUUGUGAUUUUAAAAAGGAUAAAUAUUUUGCAUUCAUUUGCAUUACAUUCAAUAUUAUUUCCCCGGUGCUUAAAGUACAAUUUAUAUCCAACUAACACAGUUCUUCUUCUAGGAUAGGCUUACAUUAGAGAUAGGGAGUUGUUAAACUAUUGAUGUUGGUUUGCACUUUGGAAUUACGAAUCAAACAAUGAAGAAUUAUAUCCUAUGGAAUUCUUUUUUCAUUUUCACUAACUUUAAAUAUUCAGGAUUGCAUUUCUCUCUGAUACUUCCAAUGAUUUUUCUACUGCAUAGGUGCAGCAACAGAGGUGAACAUAUCUCACCGAACGCGGCAAGAAAUAUUGACUACAGUUGAUCUAGCACACCCUGAUCUCUUUAAUAAUGCAAUAAAUGAGGUGCUGCAGCUAAUGAAAAUGAAUUUAGCAAAAGAUUACUGGACAUCCAUGUUUUUCAUCAAAUUCAAAGAAGAAGCCAAUAUGAGAUCCAAUGACCAUGACCUGGAACAGAUGGCAGGUUGGAACUUCUCUCCUAGAUUGAGUUCUGUACAUGGCACUGAUGAUCCAUUCCAUCAAGAACAUCUUGUGAAGGGCAUUGAUUCAGACACAAAAGGCCAAGAAUUGUGAAUAUUGUGCCGGUUUACUGCAAAGUUGAUUCAGGGAUUGAGCAUGGCAUACCAAGUGUAACAAGUGAUGCAAUUCAUAGUGAACCAUCAACGUAUGAUGAUUCAGAACAUGAUGAAUGCACACAAAAUUAGAAGUGAAAAAGAAAGGAUGAGUAGAGAAAGGAGGUGAACUCAACUGCCUGUUAAGGUUGGAAGUUAAUGCGUUUAUAGCAUUUAUACAGACGCAAGAGUAAUUGCUCAAUGUAUCUAUCUCUGGUGUUGAGGGAAAAAUGUGCAUUAUUGUAUAACCAAUAUUAUCAAACUAUUUUGUUAGUGAUAAGGCCAUCUAACCAGCCUGACCUCAAUGAUUUAGUCUGAAUAGGGACACUUGAAAGUAACCCACCUCCCAAGGUUUUUCAUGUGGCCCAGUGAAAAAUGCUAGAUAGCAACAAGAGCCCAGGUAGAAGAGAAGUCUUGUUUUUUUGGAAAAUGUUGCUUUUAAGUUUAGCAUUUUGAUUGCAGCAGCUUCCUUGAUCCGUCCAGGUCAUGUUUAGUGUUGGUGCUGCCAUCCUUAAAUAUCAGAGGGUAAAUAGCUAUUCUCCUCUUUGAAAUUUAGAAUUUCAUAAGAAUUC
rnacentral:misc_RNA from 1 species